GUAGUGGUGGUGGUGGGGUGUGGCCACUGUAGGGCAACCUUCUCCAUAUUUGGCAGUGGUCACCUCCCUGGGAUAAUAAACUAUUAUGGACUCCGGUGUGCACCUCCACCCAUGUACCCACACCUCUCGAACACACGCACGGAACUCCUAUAUAUAGAACCUUAAUGUAACUACUCAUCCACACGGGAGACAUCUCCCGUCACGCAGGGUGCAGUCGCACCUCCACAGAUCUCCAGUAUCAGCUCUUGAUACUGGUAAUGGCUCCAAAGGGCCACCACUUACGGGCUAUUCAUGCCCGUGCCACCUUUUGGAUGGGUUAAUCUUCAUCAAUCAAUCAACUACUCAUCCUUAAUUUCAUGUUAAUGAGGAGAAUGCGCGCCUUUUCUUUAUCAAUUAAAAGUUUAAGAAUGUCAACUGUACGAUAACACCUUACGAAUGACGUAAUCAUCUCGCUGUCAGUUAAUGACAUGACGAGGAGUGACGUAACCACUUACGUCACUCGUACAGACAAAGAGAAGUGGACAAGUGAGGCAAUAACCCCGCUGCCAGACACUUCCUGUCCUCGUCGAGGCCACUAGAGAGAGAUAACAGCCCUCAGGUAGACUCUGGUAAAGUAAGGUAAUCGCCUUGCUGCCAGACGAAGGUCACACGAAGACAAAUGCCGUAAUCUCCUUAAUGUCAGACGAAGAAGCCAAGUGACGUAAAUCACCUCGCUGCCAGACGAAGAAGCCAAGUAACAUAAUCGCCUCGCUGCCAGACGAAGAAGCCAAGUAACAUAAUCGCCUCGCUGCCAGACGAAGAAGCCAAGUAACAUAAUCGCCUCGCUGCCAGACGAAGACGCCAAGUGACGUAAAUCGCCUCGCUGCCAGACGAAGAAGCCAAGUGACGUAAAUCACCUCGCUGCCAGACGAAGAAGCCAAGUAACAUAAUCGCCUCGCUGCCAGACGAAGAAGCCAAGUGACGUAAAUCGCCUCGCUGUCAGACGAAGAAGCCAAGUGACGUAAAUCCCCUCGUUGCCAGACGAAGAAGCCAAGUAACAUAAUCACCUCGCUGUCAGACGAAGAGAAGAGGCAGCAACUACAGGGACGUGAGGUGUAACUUGUUUAGUCUUUGCUGGUGACUCGUAUCACUGAGGUGUUGGGCUGGUCCGGUGGCUGAACCUUCUCCAGCUCCCUCUUGUCUGUACCGAGAUAAGGGCUCCACUCUGGUCCAUAUUCCAGUUAUUCUCACAUUAACCAUCCUUAACAAGUUGGAGAAUCAAGCAGGAGUGACUGGAAAAAUGCUUCAAUGGAUAGAAGAGUGCCUACAAAGCCAAAGAAUAACAGCAAGACAGGAAAUUAUUUGAGUAGCAAGACAUUGCCAAUGGUGUCCCACAGGGAUCAGUGCUUGGCCUUAUCUUAUUCCUAACGUAUGCAAAUAAUCAUCUGAAAUGGAUACACUUCUUUCCCUCUGUUUGAUAAUGGAAAAGUUAUGAAGAGGAAACAUAUGAUGGAAGACAAAGAAACUACAAGAUGAUCUAGACAAACUAAAG